rnacentral:lncRNA from 10 species
GAGUGGGGUUUAAUCUGGACUGAAUUGGAGGAAAGGAACUGGCACCAGAGUGGAGGCUGGAAGGAUGGUGGAACUGACACUGGGACAGAACACAGAAAACAGAAUCUAAUGCUAUUGCUCUGGCUAUAUCAAAUAAAAGUGUCAAGAGUGAGCAUCCUUGCCUUGUGCUGAAUCACAAAGGAAUACCUUUCAGUUUUUCUCCAUUGAUUAUGAUAGCAGUGGGCUUUUCACAGUGGGCUUUACUGUGUUGAGGUACCCUAAUGACAAGUUCACCCCAGUGUUUUCUGAGGAGUCUACCUGGAAAUGAGAACCAUCUGUCCUUCCUAUAGUAGUUCUUCUCAGAAUGCCGACUCUAUGCUAAUGUGAACCUUCAGAAAGGGCAGAAAGGAAGUUUACUUCUGCCUCUACAAUGGAUUUGCCUACUUUAGACAUGUUUUCAAGAUUUAUCCACGUCAUGGCAUAUACCAGAACUUCAUUUCUUUUAUGAUUGAAUAAUAUUACAUGGUUUUAAUAUACUAUAUUUUGUUUAUCUGUUCAUCAAUUAAUAAAUCUUUGGGUUGUUUUCACUUUUAGGCUAUAAUAAUUAACGCUGUUAGGAAUAUUUACUUGUAAGUUUUUGUUAUAUGUUUUUAAUUCUCCUGGGUAGAUACUUAGGGAUAAAAUUGCUGAAUUAGAUUGUAACUUUAUGUUUAGAAACUGCCCAACUGUUUUCCAAAGUAACUAUCAUUUUAAUAUUUCACCAGCAUUGUAUGACAGUUCUGGUCUUUCCUUAUUUAAACUAAUACUUAAUUGUUGCCUUUUAUUGUAGCUAUCCUAGUAGAUAUGAAGUGUUAUCUCAUUAUGGUUUUGAUUUGCAUUCUCUAAUGACUAAUAAUAUCAAGCAUCUUUUCAUGUGUAUACAAGAUAUUUGUAUAUCUUCUUUAGAGAAAUGUCUACUCAAAUCCUGUGCCUAUGUUUUAAUUGGAUAAUUUAUGUUUUUAUUGUUGAGUUGUAAUAGUUUUUAAAUAUAUUCUGGAUCCUAGACCUUUAAC